GAUUUCCUAAGCACACAUUCAGUUAGUCUUUUAUUUUCUAAACAUGCUUCUGGCAUAUAAAACUCAAGUCUCAGUGCUUUAUUAACAACGGUCACAGUUUUCAGAAAUAGCAAAAAGCAACAUUCUGAUUAUUAACACAUGUACAGGUAUACAACAUAAAACAAUUUCAGACAAAAGCAGAGGAGGUAGAGCAGAGAGCGCUAUCUGUGUGCGUGGACACUUAGCACAGAGACAGCUCAACACCCUGUUGUGGAGAUGAGCUGUCCUAUCGUGGAAACAGGUUUAUAAAUAGUAAGGGGAGGGUAUCUCUUUUUAAAAAGCUAUAUAUGUCUUAUAUAUAUAAGCCUUUCCAAAAGCCUGCCACAAGCUCUUAGGUUUAUUUUAUAGUAUUUACAAGAGUCCUGUGCUGCCAAGAGACUUCGUUCCAGAAUAAGUGCUUUCAAGUAGUUAAAGCAAUAUUCUCACCAUCACUGAACUUUGAUUACAGCCCUUCCUUGGUGAAGACAGCCAGCAGCAGCCAUCAUCCUGAAAGUGAGGCUAAUGAUUCCCAGCUUCCUGCGGCCCUCAUAGUUAAUAUGUCACUGUCUCAAAAUGUAUUCAACAGUGUAAAGUACUUGAAAAAAAUUUAAUGUGUAUAAACGUUCUGCCUAGAAACCACAUGCAUGCCUGAUGCGCUCUGGGUUGUGAGCUGCCACGGGGUGCUGCAAUUAGAACCCAUGUCCUCCGAAAGAGUAGCUAGGGCUGGUCAUCACUAAGCCAUCGCUUCAGCCCCUUGAAACUUUGAGAAUAUCACAUGAUUGGUACAUUUUACAGAUAAGAUUUUUGGGGUCUUGGGAUUUUAAUUUCCUUUGUUGUCAACAAGAAAACAAAAUUAGACCUCUAAGAUUAUAGAGGGUUGUUUUUGGGUUUUUGUUUCAUUUUGUAUUUUGAAACUACUUAAUUUCCAAGGAAUAAUUCUUGGAAGUUUUUAAUAAUGAGAAAGUUAUAACUUCCAAUAGUUAACUUUCCUGCACAAAUUUUAAUAUCAUAAAAAAAUCCCAUGAAUUUUUAUGGUGUUGUUACACUGAUGAUCUUGUAUGAAAAUGUCAAGAUCAACUAUGCUCCGCCCAGAUGACUAAAGCACUUCAGUCAUGUAAAUACACUGUCCCAAUGAUUUUUAUAUAAAAAUUAUUUCAUAGAUCAAAUGUGUCAGAGAAAAUAAUUUACUAUGAUUACUUAAAUUCACUCAAAGUGCUUAAGACUGUCACUAGGUAUAUCAACCACACCAAAUGCCCAUACCCAGGACUUACUUGACUAGCACAAGGUCAAAUCCACUGUUUUUGGUUUUCCAGGACAGCCUGAACUAUAUAAUAAUAAGACUCUGUGUCAAAAAAAAAAACAAAAAAAACCAAAAAAAACCAACUUUGGAAGUUGUAUAAGAACUCAAUGUAAGGCUCAAUGAUCAUAGGUGGAAGCUCUC
rnacentral:lncRNA from 1 species